CCAGCACCAGCCAGGAGCGAGGGGAGAGGGAAAGACAGAGGGAGAGAGAAAGGGAGAGAGAGAGGGAGAGAGAGGGGGGGGAAAGAGACUGGGGCAGAGAAAAAGGGACAGAUAGGAAAACGGCAGACCAGGGUUGUAUUUAUUGGGGGUGUGAGUGCCGCGCUGUAGGCUGUGGGAUGGUCGGGAGAGUGCAAGGUGUUGCUGUUAGGUGUGGUUGGGUUUACAGAAAGGGGAAGAGCAUGCAUAGAUAGAAUGGUGGAGUGAGGAAAAAAAAAGAGGGAGAGAUGGAAGGAUUGGUCAUGCGCAAGACCGCAGGCCGUUGGAGGCAGCUUAGAAAUCUCUUACAUCUGGAACAGCCAUAAUUCGUGGGAUUUGGCCUGACAGCCAUGACAGGCACUGGGGCGGCCAGCAACAACUGUCUCCUGUGUUAGCAGCAGUGUGUACGUUAGCUCCGUGAGAGAGAGAGAGAGAGAGAGAGAAAAAGAGACAGAGAAGGAGAGACAAAGAGUGUCAAUAUGCAGAAGCCGUAUGUAGCCUGAGCUGGAAUGGAUGAAAAUAUUUACUGUGUACACACCAUCCACAAAUCCUUUCCCUCUCUUGAUCCCUGGCUUUUAUUGUUUCCCUUCUCUCCCUGCUUUUUACUCCUGUCUUUGAACACGUGCAUGCUCUGACACAGAUACGUGAAGAUAUGUGAAUAAAGGUGUUUCUAACAUA